rnacentral:miRNA from 1 species
CCCAGGGUGAGUCAGGGCUCU